GUGCUUGAUUCAGCAGCAUGUACACUGAAAAUGGAACAAUAUGGAGAAGAUGAGCAUGGCCCCUGCGCAAACAGGACACUCAGAUCUGUGAAAUGUUCCAUAUUUUU